AUUGAACGCUGGCGGAAUGCUUUACACAUGCAAGCCGAACGGUAGAGGGGGCAACCCCUCGAGAGUGGCGAACGGGUGAGUAAUAUAUCGGAACGUGCCCAGUCGUGGGGGAUAACGUAGCGAAAGUUACGCUAAUACCGCAUACGAUCUAAGGAUGAAAGCGGGGGAUCGCAAGACCUCGCGCGAUUGGAGCGGCCGAUAUCAGAUUAGGUAGUUGGUGGGGUAAAGGCUCACCAAGCCAACGAUCUGUAGCUGGUCUGAGAGGACGACCAGCCACACUGGAACUGAGACACGGUCCAGACUCCUACGGGAGGCAGCAGUGGGGAAUUCUGGACAAUGGACGCAAGUCUGAUCCAGCCAUUCCGCGUGCAGGAUGAAGGCCCUCGGGUUGUAAACUGCUUUUGUACGGAACGAAAAGGUCUCUCUUAAUACGGGGGACUCAUGACGGUACCGUAAGAAUAAGCACCGGCUAACUACGUGCCAGCAGCCGCCGCAG
rnacentral:rRNA from 1 species